UUUAUUGAAGGCAAAACGAGAGAAAAGAGGCAAGAAAAUGAGGAAAAAAAAUAAGCAAAAGGCAAAGAAUUUUGGGGAAAAUCAAGACCAAUUCAUUGCAUAAUUCAAGAAUCCAACCAAUUGAUGGAUUCUACCUAUUGUCUUGUAUUUUAUCAUUUAUUUUCUCUACUUUGUAAUGUAUUUCUCUAACUUUUCCAUUUUGUGACAUUUUCAUACAAUGAUUUAAGUCUUUUAAUGUUGGGA
rnacentral:lncRNA from 1 species